GCCUGGCUGGCUCAAUCAGUAGAGCAUGUGACUCUCAAUCUCCGGGUGAGUUCAAGCCUCACCUUGGGCA
rnacentral:tRNA from 1 species